ACGGAAGGCAGCAGUGGGGAAUAUUGCACAAUGGGGGAAACCCUGAUGCAGCGACGCCGCGUGAGUGAAGAAGUAUUUCGGUAUGUAAAGCUCUAUCAGUAGGGAAGAAAAUGACGGUACCUAACUAAGAAGCCCCGGCUAACUACGUGCCAGCAGCCGCGGUAAUACGUAGGGGGCAAGCGUUAUCCGGAUUUACUGGGUGUAAAGGGAGCGCAGACGGCAAAGCAAGUCUGAUGUGAAAUGCGGGGGCCCAACCCCUGAACUGCAUUGGAAACUGUUUAGCUAGAGUGCAGGAGAGGUAAGUGGAAUUCCUAGUGUAGCGGUGAAAUGCGUAGAUAUUAGGAGGAACACCGGUGGCGAAGGCGGCUUACUGGACUGUAACUGACGUUGAGGCUCGAAAGCGUGGGGAGCAAACAGGAUUAGAUACCCUGGUA
rnacentral:rRNA from 1 species